CGGGCGUUAAGUUGCAGGGUAUAGACCCGAAACCCGGUGAUCUAGCCAUGGGCAGGUUGAAGGUUGGGUAACACUAACUGGAGGACCGAACCGACUAAUGUUGAAAAAUUAGCGGAUGACCUGUGGCUGGGGGUGAAAGGCCAAUCAAACCGGGAGAUAGCUGGUUCUCCCCGAAAGCUAUUUAGGUAGCGCCUCGUGAAUUCAUCUCCGGGGGUAGAGCACUGUUUCGGCUAGGGGGCCAUCCCGGCUUACCAACCCGAUGCAAACUGCGAAUACCGGAGAAUGUUAUCACGGGAGACACACGGCGGGUGCUAACGUCCGUCGUGAAGAGGGAAACAACCCAGACCGCCAGCUAAGGUCCCAAAGUCAUGGUUAAGUGGGAAACGAUGUGGGAAGGCCCAGACAGCCAGGAUGUUGGCUUAGAAGCAGCCAUCAUUUAAAGAAAGCGUAAUAGCUCACUGGUCGAGUCGGCCUGCGCGGAAGAUGUAACGGGGCUAAACCAUGCACCGAAGCUGCGGCAGCGACGCUUAUGCGUUGUUGGGUAGGGGAGCGUUCUGUAAGCCUGCGAAGGUGGCCUGUGAGGGUUGCUGGAGGUAUCAGAAGUGCGAAUGCUGACAUAAGUAACGAUAAAGCGGGUGAAAAGCCCGCUCGCCGGAAGACCAAGGGUUCCUGUCCAACGUUAAUCGGGGCAGGGUGAGUCGACCCCUAAGGCGAGGCCGAAAGGCGUAGUCGAUGGGAAACGGGUUAAUAUUCCCGUACUUGGUGUUACUGCGAAGGGGGGACGGAGAAGGCUAUGUUGGCCGGGCGACGGUUGUCCCGGUUUAAGCGUGUAGGUGUGUGUUCCAGGUAAAUCCGGUUCACUUUAACACUGAGGCGUGACGACGAGGCACUACGGUGCUGAAGCAACAAAUGCCCUGCUUCCAGGAAAAGCCUCUAAGCAUCAGGUAACAUCAAAUCGUACCCCAAACCGACACAGGUGGUCAGGUAGAGAAUACCAAGGCGCUUGAGAGAACUCGGGUGAAGGAACUAGGCAAAAUGGUGCCGUAACUUCGGGAGAAGGCACGCUGACACGUAGGUGAAGUGAUUUACUCAUGGAGCUGAAGUCAGUCGAAGAUACCAGCUGGCUGCAACUGUUUAUUAAAAACACAGCACUGUGCAAACACGAAAGUGGACGUAUACGGUGUGACGCCUGCCCGGUGCCGGAAGGUUAAUUGAUGGGGUCAGCGCAAGCGAAGCUCCUGAUCGAAGCCCCGGUAAACGGCGGCCGUAACUAUAACGGUCCUAAGGUAGCGAAAUUCCUUGUCGGGUAAGUUCCGACCUGCACGAAUGGCGUAAUGAUGGCCAGGCUGUCUCCACCCGAGACUCAGUGAAAUUGAACUCGCUGUGAAGAUGCAGUGUACCCGCGGCAAGACGGAAAGACCCCGUGAACCUUUACUAUAGCUUGACACUGAACAUUGAGCCUUGAUGUGUAGGAUAGGUGGGAGGCUUUGAAGUGUGGACGCCAGUCUGCAUGGAGCCGACCUUGAAAUACCACCCUUUAAUGUUUGAUGUUCUAACGUGGACCCGUUACCCGGGUUGCGGACAGUGUCUGGUGGGUAGUUUGACUGGGGCGGUCUCCUCCUAAAGAGUAACGGAGGAGCACGAAGGUUGGCUAAUCCUGGUCGGACAUCAGGAGGUUAGUGCAAUGGCAUAAGCCAGCUUGACUGCGAGCGUGACGGCGCGAGCAGGUGCGAAAGCAGGUCAUAGUGAUCCGGUGGUUCUGAAUGGAAGGGCCAUCGCUCAACGGAUAAAAGGUACUCCGGGGAUAACAGGCUGAUACCGCCCAAGAGUUCAUAUCGACGGCGGUGUUUGGCACCUCGAUGUCGGCUCAUCACAUCCUGGGGCUGAAGUAGGUCCCAAGGGUAUGGCUGUUCGCCAUUUAAAGUGGUACGCGAGCUGGGUUUAGAACGUCGUGAGACAGUUCGGUCCCUAUCUGCCGUGGGCGCUGGAGAACUGAGGGGGGCUGCUCCUAGUACGAGAGGACCGGAGUGGACGCAUCACUGGUGUUCGGGUUGUCAUGCCAAUGGCACUGCCCGGUAGCUAAAUGCGGAAGAGAUAAGUGCUGAAAGCAUCUAAGCACGAAACUUGCCCCGAG
rnacentral:rRNA from 1 species